GACAGAGGGUGCAAACGUUGUUCGGAAUUACUGGGCGUAAAGCGCGUGUAGGCGGCUCUGCAAGUCGGGUGUGAAAUCCCAUGGCUCAACCAUGGAAGUGCACUCGAAACUGCAGGGCUAGAGUCCUGGAGAGGAAGGUGGAAUGCUUGGUGUAGAGGUGAAAUUCGUAGAUAUCAAGCGGGACACCGGUGGCGAAGGCGGCCUUCUGGACAGUGACUGACGCUGAGACGCGAAAGCGUGGGGAGCAAACAGG
rnacentral:rRNA from 1 species